rnacentral:rRNA from 1 species
GACAGAGGGUGCAACCGUUGUUCGGAAUUACUGGGCGUAAAGGGCGUGCAGGCGGUUUGUUAAGUGCAGGGUGAAAGCUCCCGGCUCAACUGGGAGAGGUCCUUGCAUACUGGCAAACUCGAGGGAGGCAGAGGAAAGUGGAAUUCCCGGUGUAGUGGUGAUAUGCGUAGAUAUCGGGAGGAACACCUGUGGCGAAGGCGGCUUUCUGGGCCUUACCUGACGCUGAGACGCGAAAGCGUGGGGAGCGAACCGG